rnacentral:rRNA from 1 species
CCCUGGCUCAGGACGAACGCGGGCGGCGUGCCUAAUACAUGCAAGUCGAGCGAAUCAAUAGGAGCUUGCUCCUGUUGUUAGCGGCGGACGGGUGAGUAACACGUGGGCAACCUGCCUGUAAGACUGGGAUAACACCGGGAAACCGGUGCUAAUACCGGAUAAUCCUUUUCCUCUCAUGAGGAAAAGCUGAAAGUCGGUUUCGGCUGACACUUACAGAUGGGCCCGCGGCGCAUUAGCUAGUUGGUGAGGUAACGGCUCACCAAGGCGACGAUGCGUAGCCGACCUGAGAGGGUGAUCGGCCACACUGGGACUGAGACACGGCCCAGACUCCUACGGGAGGCAGCAGUAGGGAAUCUUCCACAAUGGACGAAAGUCUGAUGGAGCAACGCCGCGUGAGCGAUGAAGGCCUUCGGGUCGUAAAGCUCUGUUGUUAGGGAAGAACAAGUACCGGAGUAACUGCCGGUACCUUGACGGUACCUAACCAGAAAGCCACGGCUA